rnacentral:lncRNA from 1 species
UAUUUAUGGAUGUAUCUAUCAUGCAUGUGAGUAGAGAUGCUAAUAUAUAUUUCUAGACAUAUCUAUUAUGCACGUGAAUGAGAAUACGUGUUAAUACAUAUUUCUCGGCAUAUUCAUUAUGCACGUGAGUGGAGGUGUAAUAUAUAUAUCUUGCCUAUCCAUCUUGCACGUAAGUCAGAAAUAUUAUUAUAUAUUUCUCAGUCCAAUUCAUCAUACACGUCAGUAAAUAUGUUAAUAUGUUUUUCUAGGCCUAAUCAACAAUGCACACAAGUGAUGGUGUUAAUAU